rnacentral:rRNA from 1 species
GACGAACGCUGGCGGCGUGCCUAAUACAUGCAAGUAGAACGCUGAAGGAGGAGCUUGCUCUUCUGGAUGAGUUGCGAACGGGUGAGUAACGCGUAGGUAACCUGCCUGGUAGCGGGGGAUAACUAUUGGAAACGAUAGCUAAUACCGCAUAAGAGUAGAUGUUGCAUGACAUUUACUUAAAAGGUGCAAUUGCAUCACUACCAGAUGGACCUGCGUUGUAUUAGCUGGUUGGUGGGGUAACGGCUUACCAAGGCGACGAUACAUAGCCGACCGGAGAGGGGGAUCGGCCACCCUGGGACUGAGACACGGCCCAGACUCCUACGGGAGGCAGCAGUAGGGCAUCUUCGGCAAUGGACGGAAGUCUGACCGAGCAACGCCGCGUGAGUGAAGAAGGUUUUCGGAUCGUAAAGCUCUGUUGUAAGAGAAGAACGAGUGUGAGAGUGGAAAGUUCACACUGUGACGGUAUCUUACCAGAAAGGGACGGCUAACUACGUG